rnacentral:rRNA from 1 species
UACGUAGGGGGCGAGCGUUACUCGGAAUCACUAGGCGUAAAGCGCACGUAGGCGGUUCGGCAAGUCUCUUGUGAAAGCUCCCGGCUCAACUGGGAGAGGUCAAGGGAAACUACCGGGCUAGAGUGUGGCAGAGGAAGCUGGAAUUCCCGGUGUAGCGGUGAAAUGCGUAGAGAUCGGGAGGAAUACGUAUGGCGAAAGCAGGCUCCUGGGCCGUCACUGACGCUGAGCUGCGAAAGCUAGGGGAGAAAAC